UACGAAGGGGGCUAGCGUUGCUCGGAAUCACUGGGCGUAAAGGUGCGUAGGCGGGUCUUUAAGUCAGGGGUGAAAUCCUGGAGCUCAACUCCAGAACUGCCUUUGAUACUGAGGAUCUUGAGUUCGGGAGAGGUGAGUGGAACUGCGAGUGUAGAGGUGAAAUUCGUAGAUAUCGCAAGAACACCAGUGGCGAAGGCGGCUCACUGGCCCGAUACUGACGCUGAGGCA
rnacentral:rRNA from 1 species